UACGUAGGGUGCGAGCGUUGUCCGGAAUUACUGGGCGUAAAGAGCUCGUAGGUGGUUUGUCGCGUUGUUCGUGAAAUCUCACGGCUUAACUGUGAGCGUGCGGGCGAUACGGGCAGACUGGAGUACUGCAGGGGAGACUGGAAUUCCUGGUGUAGCGGUGGAAUGCGCAGAUAUCAGGAGGAACACCAGAGGCGAAGGCGGCUAGCUGGACAGUUACUGACACUCAACUACGAAAGCGUGGGGAGCAAACAGG
rnacentral:rRNA from 1 species